rnacentral:rRNA from 1 species
AUUGAACGCUGGCGGCAGGCCUAACACAUGCAAGUCGAACGAGUGGCGGACGGGUGAGUAAUGUCUGGGAAACUGCCUGAUGGAGGGGGAUAACUACUGGAAACGGUAGCUAAUACCGCAUACCAUCGGAUGAGCCCAGAUGGGAUUAGCUAGUAGGUGGGGGAACGGCUCACCUAGGAGACGAUACCUAGCUGGUCGGAGAGGAUGACCAGCCACACUGGGACUGAGACACGGUCCAGGCUCCUUCGGGAGGGAGCAUUGGGGAAUAUGGCACAAUGGGCGCAAGCCAGAUGAAGCCAUGCCGCGUGUAUGAAGAAGGCCUUCUGGUUGUAAAGUACUGUUAGCCGGGAGGCGGUACUCGCAGAAGAAGCACCGGCUAACUCCGUGCCAGCAGCCGCGGUAAUUC